rnacentral:rRNA from 1 species
GACGAACGCUGGCGGCGUGCUUAACACAUGCAAGUCGAACGGAAAGGCCCUGCUUUUGUGGGGUGCUCGAGUGGCGCACGGGUGAGUAACACGGGAGUAACCUGCCCUUGACUUUGGGAUAACUUCAGGAAACUGGGUCUAAUACCGGAUAGGAGCUCCUUCUGCAUGGUGUGGGUUGGAAAGUUUCGGCGGUUGGGGAUGGACUCGCGGCUUAUCAGCUUGUUGGUGGGGUAGUGGCUUACCAAGGCUUUGACGGGUAGCCGGCCUGAGAGGGUGACCGGCCACAUUGGGACUGAGAUACGGCCCAGACUCCUACGGGAGGCAGCAGUGGGGAAUAUUGCACAAUGGGCGGAAGCCUGAUGCAGCAACGCCGCGUGCGGGAUGACGGCCUUCGGGUUGUAAACCGCUUUCGCCUGUGACGAAGCGUGAGUGACGGUAAUGGGUAAAGAAGCACCGGCUAACUACGUG